rnacentral:sRNA from 1 species
GGAAAUCGAACAACACACAUAUGUAUCUCCCGGAACCUCUGGUCAGAUAACAGUAACUAAUGAUAAAACAUCAACAAAUAUAGAGGAACAUGUAUACGAACAAAUAGAAGAUGGAAACAUUUCCAAGGUCACAACAAACAGAGCAUACACUAAUGUACAGAUAAUAACCAGAGUGAAAUUAGAUGACAGCAAUAAUACAUAAGCUUUGAGUCGGAUUUACCAUGUCAUAGUAUUACUAAUUAAUUUUUGAAAUAAUCUCAUUCUUUAAAGGUUUUUAUGAAUGAAAUUAUUAGCCCGAUUAACUAUGUUGAAAAGAUAUUUGAUGACCACGAAUUUCAAAACUAUUGAAACAUUAUAAAGUAUCCACUACACAAGGUUUUUUUUUCAUGCUUUGCCAAAAUCUAGCAUCACGUGUCGACUGCCACUCUAGUAUUGUGUGUCACCAUAAGAACUGGAUGCCAUUACGAACACGCGGGAGUAUCGAAGCCGGACAUUAACGCACAGAGGUAUCAUAAGAGAUCUGUUACAUUGCUCUCAGGACAACCAUUUCCAUAGUUUUUAACACACAGUAUUCUGCUCUGACAGAUUCAAGUAUCAUUCAUUAGUUUUAAUUGACUCACUAGUAGAGAGGGUGCGGGCGGAAUCGCUAUUUGGUUGUAAUGGCUCCGACAAUAUCCUAGCUCUGACUCACAUCUCAAUAUUUUGAAACAAAACAUAUGAUUGUCUAGAAAUUUGUAUUAGAAGUUUAUGUGAAAUAAAAUUUGUUUUUAUUUAUACAAUGAAAAAA